AACAGGAUUAGAUACCCUGGUAGUCCACGCUGUAAACGAUGUCGACUUGGAGGUUGUGCCCUUGAGGCGUGGCUUCCGGAGCUAACGCGUUAAGUCGACCGCCUGGGGAGUAUGGCCGCAAGGUUAAAACUCAAAUGAAUUGACGGGGGCCCGCACAAGCGGUGGAGCAUGUGGUUUAAUUCGAUGCAACGCGAAGAACCUUACCUACUCUUGACAUCCAGAGAAUUUGCUAGAGAUAGCUUAGUGCCUUCGGGAACUCUGGGACAGGUGCUGCAUGGCUGUCGUCAGCUCGUGUUGUGAAAUGUUGGGUUAAGUCCCGCAACGAGCGCAACCCUUAUCCUUUGUUGCCAGCACGUAAUGGUGGGAACUCAAAGGAGACUGCCGGUGAUAAACCGGAGGAAGGUGGGGAUGACGUCAAGUCAUCAUGGCCCUUACGAGUAGGGCUACACACGUGCUACAAUGGCAUAUACAAAGAGAAGCGAACUCGCGAGAGCAAGCGGACCUCAUAAAGUAUGUCGUAGUCCGGAUUGGAGUCUGCAACUCGACUCCAUGAAGUCGGAAUCGCUAGUAAUCGUAGAUCAGAAUGCUACGGUGAAUACGUUCCCGGGCCUUGUACACACCGCCCGUCACACCAUGGGAGUGGGUUGCAAAAGAAGUAGGUAGCUUAACCUUCGGGAGGGCGCUUACCACUUUGUGAUUCAUGACUGGGGUGAAGUCGUAACAAGGUAACC
rnacentral:rRNA from 1 species